UUCAGUGAAUGAAGUUAUGAUGGAUCCGUUAUUCAACCUGCACAGGCCAGGGGCGUGCCCGCCGUUCCUUGCUGCCUGCCUGUGACACCCCAACAAAGAUUUCGGCAUCACAUCUUAUGAUUUGGAGUAUCUGUUGCCCUGCAAGGUGGACUCAAGAUGAAAUCAAAACCCUAAAAACACAGAGAACCCGGACAGGCUUGUCCUGACCUCUCCACCCCGCCUCCCCGAGACACCAUACAAGUUCAUCGCAAACCCCACGAGAACUCAGAUGUCUUCGGUUAUGAUGGGACUUCCGACAGAUGCAUCCACUCUCUCAAAAUUUCAUUUCUGGUCUGUGUAACCCAGCGGCAGGGCAGAGCUAGCUUCCAAACCCUCUGUGAUGGUUUAGAAAAGGAAACUAAAUCCCUAGAGCCCAGGAGAAGGAGAAGGGAGGGGCUGUGCAGACAACUCUGAGGAUUCCAGCUUCCAGUUCCCCCUGCCUCGGGCUGCCUUCCACCCCCGCAGUCAGAGCCAUCCUUCCCAACCCAGC